rnacentral:sRNA from 1 species
CUUUCUCCACACCGUGGGAGGAGAGAUCAGACACAGGCCCAGAGGAGUGAGACUGGCCAGCCGUGCAUCAGGCCGCAGCACCAGCUGGGCUGAUGAUGGAGCCCUGCUGGGUUCAGGGAGGGCGUGGCCACCUUGUAGAUCUGUACUGUGUGGCUGAAUGGCCGUGCCCUGCCUUCUGGAACUUUCCUGUGUUCUUUCCCAGGCCAUCUCACCCUAGGACCUCCCCAGGGUGUGCUGGACCGGUUUUCUCAAAUUCAGCCAAAGCUCAUCUUCUCUGUGGAGGCUGUUGUCUAUAAUGGCAAAGAGCACAACCACAUGGAAAAGCUGCAGCAGGUGGUUAAAGGCCUACCAGACUUGAAGAAAGUGGUGGUGAUUCCUUAUGUGUCCUCCAGAGAGAACAUAGACCUUUCAAAGAUUCCAAACAGUGUGUUUCUGGAUGACUUUCUUGCCACCGGCACCAGUGAGCAGGCCCCGCAGCUGGAGUUCGAGCAGCUGCCCUUCAGCCACCCACUGUUCAUCAUGUUCUCAUCGGGCACCACGGGCGCACCCAAGUGCAUGGUGCAUUCCGCUGGG